AAUAGAUACCCGGUAGUCCACGCCGUAAACGAUGAGUGCUAAGUGUUAGAGGGUUUCCGCCCUUUAGUGCUGCAGCUAACGCAUUAAGCACUCCGCCUGGGGAGUACGGUCGCAAGACUGAAACUCAAAGGAAUUGACGGGGGCCCGCACAAGCGGUGGAGCAUGUGGUUUAAUUCGAAGCAACGCGAAGAACCUUACCAGGUCUUGACAUCCCACUGACCGGUAUAGAGAUAUACCUUUCCCUUCGGGGACAGUGGUGACAGGUGGUGCAUGGUUGUCGUCAGCUCGUGUCGUGAGAUGUUGGGUUAAGUCCCGCAACGAGCGCAACCCUUGAUCUUAGUUGCCAGCAUUUAGUUGGGCACUCUAAGGUGACUGCCGGUGACAAACCGGAGGAAGGUGGGGAUGACGUCAAAUCAUCAUGCCCCUUAUGACCUGGGCUACACACGUGCUACAAUGGAUGGUACAAAGGGCUGCAAGACUGCGAAGUCAAGCCAAUCCCAUAAAACCAUUCUCAGUUCGGAUUGCAGG
rnacentral:rRNA from 1 species